UACGAAGGGGGCUAGCGUUGCUCGGAAUCACUGGGCGUAAAGGGUGCGUAGGCGGGGCUUUAAGUCAGAGGUGAAAGCCCGGAGCUCAACUCCGGAACUGCCUUUAAGACUGCAUUGCUAGAACGUCGGAGAGGUAAGUGGAAUUCCGAGUGUAGAGGUGAAAUUCGUAGAUAUUCGGAAGAACACCAGUGGCGAAGGCGACUUACUGGACGACUGUUGACGCUGAGGUGCGAAAGCGUGGGGAGCAAACAGG
rnacentral:rRNA from 1 species